CCGGGAUGAGCUAAUAAUGGAAGCAAUUUGUAACUUUCAGUAGCUCUCUAGGCCUGGGUACCGGAGGGAGGGAGGCGGGCAGAGGAGGGGAGAUGGGCACCCCCAGUCUUUCCAUCCUCCUCAUUCGUCUAGGGGCACCCGAAUCCCCUAUUCCUUAUUUCCCCUAUCACUCAGGCACUGGCAGGGUCCUUUGCCCACUCCUGUUGGCCGCUGCGGCUCCAAAGCGAGAUGUGCCUGACACAGGUUUGACCAGGCAACUGAAAAGACAUCUCUAAGAGAAGACAAAGCAAAGGUAUGAAAGGAACACACGUCCCUGACUGACUAGGAGGAACAGAGCUGCCUGCUAUCUGGAACAACUUCCUCCCAGACUAAGUACAGCUGUUGGGAGAUGCCUCUCCCGCCCUCAAUCUCCCUGUCUGUGGUUCCAGAGGGAAGAAGAGUGGGGAAAAAAGGAUGAAGAGAAUUGUUUCAGUGCUGGGGGAGGUGAGCUUAUAGCAGGGAUUUAGAUGGGAAUUACCUCAUGGGAUAGGAGCAGUUUUCUCCCUCUCCAGGCCUCUCACAGAUGUGAAACAACUGGCAGAUCUGACUUU
rnacentral:lncRNA from 1 species